UGAGGGAAUCGUUUCUCACGGCAGCAUGCUU
rnacentral:piRNA from 1 species